AUGUCUCCCUCUACCACCCCGAAUGCUCCCGAUCUCGUCUGAUCUCAGAAGCUAAGCAGGGUCGGGCUUGGAUGGGAGACCCU
ensembl:rRNA 5S_rRNA 5S ribosomal RNA